UCAUGUGCAAAAUGGGAUAAAAAUACUCACCUUCUCAGGGUUGUGGGGAUUAUGUGAAAUAAUAUAUGUUAAGAUUUCCUGUAAACUCUAAGUGUUAUGUAAUGGUGGGAUUCUGUUCACACACAGCUAACAAAAGGAGAACGCAGAGGAGUCAUACAGUGAGUUGGAGAAAUUACAAACGUUUUGGCCAUGAAUUUUGUGUAGAGAGAUACGUCAGUUCUAGAGAUGUUUAACAACCUAGCCAAGGUCACAGAUUUGGUUUGGAUGAAUGUGAACUAAAAGCAGAACUUUGGACUUUCAGUUUCUUGAUCUAGGAAAAUAGUGGCCUUGGACUUGAUGAAAAGAUGGUCAAUGACAUCUGAGCUUAAGAACCAGACUUGUACUUGGAAGAAGCAAAAGCAGAGCUCCAUCUAUGAAAAAUCAUCGCUGCACUUGGUUUAAAACUGUGACAUCUUCACAUCAGUAAUUCUUACAGGUAUAAUGCCAGAUACUCUCAGGAAUCCUAUUCACUAUAACACCAAAUAUUAUUCUAAGAAACUGUUUACCUGGGUGAAAAUAUGAAUAUUUGGAUGGCAGAAGAUAUAAAAAGAAAUGGACUUAAAACAAUUAAACUAAUAUUUACAUGAGGAACUUGAAGAGAUCAACGUUUUUAGGGCUCAAAUUCUUUGGAAAAUGGCAGUGACUCCAAGUUCAGAGCACCAGAUUCUAAUAGGAAUUGACUGAGUACUCACCAUGUGCCAGGUACUUGGUAACAAAUCUGUGAAGUAGGUAUCAUUAUCUCUCUUCUAAAGAUGAGCAGGUGAGGUACAGACAAUUAAAUGACUUGCCAAAGUUCACACCAGUUAUGAUGAAAACAAGCAAUAUAUGAACAAAGAAUGGGAUAUAUUUCUUAAAGAACAUCCUAAACUCUAUUGCCAAGUGGCUGUUAGCAUUUAGAAUAGUGCCCAUCAUAUAGGAAGUGCUCAAUAAUGUCACUAUCUGCUUAGAGAGAUAUAAAUGGCAUUCAUUGGCAAAUUGCUUAAUUUUUCUAAGCUUUAUUUUUAUUUAUCAGUCAGGUGCCUGGCAGAAAACAGAUGGCAUGCACAAACAGAGUAAUUAAAAGGAAUUUAACAAAGGUCCUCAUUGUAAAGUUGUGAGAAAGGUUAAGGGAAAUCAAAAAAGGAUGAAGAUUCACCUUUGGGCUAAGUGGGGCUGCAUUAUCUGAAGGGCCAGGGGAGGGAGUAGCUACUGAGACCCACAAAGAGCAGUGACUGGGGCCUUAGCUGCCCUGCCUGGCAGACUCGGUGGCUUUCUAUUGAGCAACACAGUCACUGACAAUCUCCUGCACCAAAGUGAUGGAGCUGGGGAGAAUAGGAUCUCUCUCCUCCCACCUUUCAGUCUCCACUGCCUUCUCCACUGGCCAGACCUAAGCAGAAGCCAGAGGGGAAAGGUGCCUGGGUGAAACAGGCUAUGGAAGUCAGCCUCCUAGGGGCCCAGAGCAGAGUGGAAAAUGGUAGAAAGAUCUGGUGGGGCAGAGAAUAUCAAGUGCAUUCACCUUCCAUAGAAUGAAUUCAUUAACCAGUAUUUUUGUAUGCCUACCCCAAAGUGUGUUAAGUGCUGAAAAAUAUUUCAAAUGUAAACAACGUCUAUGCCCUCAAGGAGCUUAAUUGUUAGAGUUCAAAAUGACCCAACGUAGAGUUCAAAUGUUAAAGUGCAGGCUUUUAAGUUUCGGUGUAAAUUUGGAAAAGUAACUUAAAACAUUUAGAAAUCAACCUCCUCAUCUUGAAAAAUGAGAACAGAAAUGGUACCUUCCUCAUUGGCCUAUGUUGAGCAUUGGAUGUGCUGAUUCACGCAAAGCAUUCAGAACAGUGCUUGACGUAUUGUAAGACUUAAUAAUGUGGGUUAUUAUCUGCCAAGUGUGAUAUAGAAGGUAUGAGCAAAGCCUUAGAACUAUUACCAGAGGAGAGCACAUGCCCCUGGAGGGGCCAGAUUAGACAUCUUUAAGGUACAUUCUAGGUCCUGAGAUUUCAUGGCAGAUCCUCAAGGUCACACUACAGGUUGAGGCAGGGUCAGAAAUACUGCCAAUUUCCAGGGUGCAUUUAAUCAUUUGACCUGUCUUCUUCCCCUCUCCGGGUCUGUAGACUGCAUAAAGAAACCCUACUCGGGAUGGUCAUAAAUGAAAUACUGCAUCAGCUAUUUAAAUGUUCUAAGAAGCAUAUAUUAAGGAUGAUGGUAUUGAUGAUCUAAAAUACUUACUGGCACUCGAACCCAAGGCAGUAAGGCAUUUUAUAAAUCAACCAACAUCCCUUAUGUCCUGGAUCUAAAUUUUGAGUUCUUGAGAUAUAUACCACAGAUGUCUUUUUUGUAGUCUAUGCUUUCCUCUUUGGAAGGCAAUUUAUUAUUUAUAUCAAUAUUAAUGUAAUUGCUAAUAUUUUUUUUAGAUGAAGUAUAUGUGUCUAUCCAUAUCUGGCUCAGACAAAUUUCUUUUGGAUCAAUGAGAAGCGUGCUGCUGGCUUUUUCUUUUUCUUUGCAAAAUGUUUAAAUGUUUUUUUGCUACGGUGUUUAUUUUUAUUUUUUUAACCAAGUAGCUAAGUAGUUUUAGUUUUCAUUUGAUUCUGUACUUUGACAAAGAGUAAUAUCUAAUCAGUAAAACAACAGGAAUUGUCCUUUUGUGAGAGAGAAAUAAACUUCUAACUAAAAUGGCAGAGUAAGAACCUCCCGCCCCCAUACUCUCCUAAGGAAGUUGGAAUUUUUUUUUUUUUAAUAUUUUUAUUUAUUUGUCAGAGAGAGAGAGCACAAGCAGAGGGAGCAGCAUUGGGAGAAGCAGGCUUCCUGCUGAGCAGGGAGCCUGAUGUGGGACCCGAUCCCAGGACUUUGGGAUCACGACCUGAGCCGAGGCAGAUGCUUAACCGACUGAGCCACCAGAUGUCCCGGAAGUUGGAAUUUUUUUGAAGGCUUAUUUUCUCCUAUGGUUUUGUCAUGACCAGCUGCAGUAUCUUUCCCAUCUCAUGGUUUACUUUAUUAAGUAACAGUGAUAGUCUAUUAAAAUAUUUAAGGCUGUACCUCUGAAACAAAUAAUACAUUAUAUGUUUAAAAAAAAAAGAAGAAGAAGAUAGCAGGAAGGGAAGAAUGAAGGGGGAAAAUCAGAGGGGGAGACAAACCAUGAGAGACUAUGGACUCUGAGAAACAAACCAAUGGUUCUGGGGGGGGUGGGGGGAUGGCUUAGCCUGGUGAUGGGUGUUAAAGAGGGCACGUACUGCAUGGAGCACCGGGUGUUAUACGCAAACAAUGAAUCAUGGAACACUACAUCAAAAACUAAUGAUGUAAUGUAUGGUGAUUAACAUAAUAAAAAAUAUUUAAGGCUGGAAGGAAGUUCAGAAGAUCGCUAGAGGAAAAUCCUGCCUUUCAUAAAUAAGAAUAUGUGGAAAUUUAACUUGGUAACUUAGUUUGGCUGGCUUUUAAAAAUUUUCUCUGUUGCUAAGGGAGCUUAAUGGUAGGUAUAGAAAUGAGCUUAAAGCAAGUUCUUAGAACAAGCUUUUGCCCAACAGCAGUCGCAGUGUUUAUGAGCGGCAACCCUGUCCAUAUGGAAGAGAAAAGCUAGAAGUGAAAAUUAUAUCAUCCCUUCCAUAUCAGACAAGUUAAUUAGUUGGUCCGUAAUCACAGACUCUGCUCCAAAUGAAAAAAAAACAACUUUUCUCCUUUUGAACAGAAAGGCACAGAAGGUACAAUACCUGCGUAAUUCAUUAACAGUAAGAAUGUUUUGAAGGAAGAAAUUCUGAAUUUAGAUUAUCCUGAACUUCAGCUUGUAAUAGCCAAGGUUGUGGUGAGACUUUUGCAGUUUUCCAAAACAAAUUUAAAAUGCGAGAAUUUCCUUUUGUGCUUAUCAGAAGCAAUCUAAAGCAUUUGGAAGAUUUUGUGAGUUUUUUUGUUUGUUUGUUUAAUUUUUAAAAUAUCAGAGCACUGUGUAGUGUAUUGAAUAAGCUAUGGAGGAUUGAAGUUAAAGAACCAGUUGAAAAUGUCAGAUCCAAAGUAAGGCCCGAAAUAACUUGAAAAAUGGGAAUUUCUGGAUUUAAGUUCAUGGACUUUAUAUAUAUAUUAACUCAAGGACUUUAUGUAUAUAUUAAUUAACAUCUAGGCUCCAGAAGAUUCCAUGACCAGAAAAAGAGGGGCUUGAAGGUUAUUGAAGCAUAUCGUGUGGUAGCUGGAAAGGUGAUUCUGGCUGAUUAGAUUGUAGGAAACCUGAAUGGCUGAAACACAAAAAGGGCUUUGCUGUUUGGAAAUAAGCCUGAUCAGCCAUUUGUCUAAAUCUAAAUGAGAUUGACUGAGUUUUUCUUUCUUCUCUCCCAUUCCCAAAUAGAAGAGGCAGAAAAAUCAGAAAUGUGGCAUUUGGUUCCUGAAGAGAGUGAAUUAGCGUAGUCUGCUGUUCCCUCCCCCAAACUCCCGGAGAAACUAUAGAAGCAGAAAGAAGCCUGGAUCUGGAAAUGAUGUGAAAGCUAAGAGAAACCCCUGAGCUGUGGGAAGAGUUUAGAGGUUUUCAGUUUUCUUGAGUCUGGUUCUUCUGUACAUUACUUGGGACUGUUAUUGCCUCAUCAUCUGCACAGAAAUGUACAGCAACAGCCUGGACCUAGCAGUGCCAAGGGCAUGAUAUUAGGGUCUGCAAAAGUUCUGCUGCAGAGGGGCUAAUGGAACAGACGUCAGCUGCCAGGAUCUUACUUCUGUUCCCUAGGUGCUUUUAAUUGGGAUUAACAUAACAUAAUAAACAAAAAUAAAUUAAAAAAUAGGAGGACUAGUGGGUUUUAUUUUAAGGAGACUGUGCCAUCUUGAAAAAUGAUUCAAAAGAUUUGUCAAGUGGAGUGGCGGCAGACAGAAGUGACUGAGAGAGGUUCUUUGGUACGUUGAGGUCCCCACUUAUUCUUACUCUUUCCCUUUGGUUUAGAUUCAUCAGGAGGAAUAUAACUUAGGCCAUUCCCUAAUUCAUAUUAUCAGACAAUAUCAUGAGCUCAGAAAAGAAAAAAUGUAGAUAUUGGCAAAAACAACCCAUAAAAGAAAGGAGAUAAACUAAUAGCAUAUGAAACAGAAUUCUUGGAACAGAUGGACUAAGAAUUUAAAAUAAGUUUAACUGAAAUACUCAGUGAUAAGGAAGGUGUUAAUUAAAUGUGGGAGAAGUCAUAAAAAAGAACCAAGUGGACACAGUAAACAUGAAAAUUAUAAUAGUUGAAAUAAAAAACAGAAGAAAUAGGAUAAAUAAUCCAAAGGGUUCAGCUGAAGAAAUAAUUCAUUUGCUGGAAGAUCAGAUUGAACACUCUUAGAAGGUAACUGAAAAAAAAAAAAAAAAGAAAAUUUAACAAUAAAUUAAGAGAUUUGGAGAAUAGAAAUAAAUAAAUAAAAAUUAAAGUGCUAAUACCCAGCUAAUAAUAAUCUCAGAAAAAAGGUGGUGAUGGUCAUGGUGGGGGACAAAGGAAAGAUAUAUUUGAAGAAAUAAAGAAUAUUAAUAUCGCAGAGUUUAAAAAAAGACAACUUACCUUUUAUUUGAAAUACUACAUAAAGUGAAACUUUCAGUACCUCAGUUUACCAAUCAAUAAGAUGAGGAUAGUAAAAUGUCUAUUUUACUAUCUUAAAAAAAUACAGUGAGGAGUAAAAGAGUUAAUAUAUGUAAAGCCUUUAGAAUAGUGCCUUGUUCAUAAUCACUAUUUUAGUAUUAGCUAUUAUUAUCACCUAGAUGUAUUCUAUCAAAGAAAGGCAAAUCGAAAAUGCUUCCAAGGAGAAUGGAAGCUACCAAGGAAAAAAAUAUUUAGAUUUAUAUCAGCCUUCUUAACACCAUAAUCACAUGGUAGAACCAAGGGCUUUAUAUCCUAUCAGACCUGAGAAUAAUUACCAUAUGGAGACCCACUUUGAAAAGCUCUUGGAGGAUGUACUGAAAUAAGACGACAUCUAAAAGCACCAGGGUGCUAUAAGAGGUACAUGAAGAAUGGUGGCCAAAAAACCAGAGGAUAUUAUGAUUAUUUUUUAAAAGUGCAGAUUGAGAUAAAUAAAUUCUAAAUAACUUCAACACUGUGUUGGAGGUGGGAGACAGGGAAAGAAGACAAAAAUAGUGUGAAAGCUGCAAGAUACAAAUAUUGCUAAAUUGAGGAAAUUUAUAAAGGGAAAAUCCCUAAGUAUAGAUCUUAAGUUAGGGACAACCACUCUCAGAAUAAUGAUAGCCAGUAAGAAUUUUCAUGCAUUUUUGGCAGGAAUGAUGCAGCUGUUCUGGGAAGUUAGUCUAGGUAGUUAUUGGCCAAGUUAUAUAACAUAUAAACUAUGGCCCAGCAAUUUUUUUUUUUUAAGAUUUUAUUUAUUUGAGAGAGAGAGAAUGAGAGACAGAGAGCACGAGAGGGAAGAGGGUCAGAGGGAGAAGCAGACCCCCGCUGAGCGGGGAGCCCGAUGUGGGACUCGAUCCUGGGACUCCAGGAUCAUGACCUGAGCCGAAGGCAGUCGCUUAACCAACUGAGCCACCCAGGCGCCCUGGCCCAGCAAUUUUAUUCCUGGAUCUGCAUCAAGAGAAAUUACUACAAAAGUCCAUUUGGGGGACAAUGAUGGCAAUGCAUUUGGGGUCUCUUAGAGGUGUCCAACGCUGGGUGUUGAUGAGUUAAAUCAAGCAGAAAGUGACAGCAACUACCACUCCAGCACAGUGCUUGCCAUUCUACAACCAGUACACAACCAGGACGACGACUUUAUUGAGCUGUCCCUGUGGCGUGUGCAACCCAAGGGCUCUUUGUGGAUACCCUACUAGGUAAAAGAUGAACCUCUAGAAGUGGUGGCAGAGAAGGAGAGAGGAAGUCACCGUGAACCAUGAAUGGGAUACUGACAAGACUUGAAGGUCAGCCUUUGCUGAAGUUGGAGCUGUUUGGUACAGUGGGGUGAUGUGUUUUUGUAAACCUUGGGCAUCACAUGCAUUUCAGUCUUACAUUGCUAAUUGUGAAAAAAAAAAAAAAAGAAAAAGGAAAUUGGGGGGAAGACUGGUUUCAUUACUAGAUGGAUUAAGGCAAUAUGUUUAAAGUUGAACUAUUAGAAGAGCUUUUUUUUUUUUUUCUUUUUCAAGUGCUCUUAAAUAUGUAUUAGAGUUUUCAAAAAGAUCCAAGGUAAAACAGUACCCUUGGUUCAAACUCUUCUGUCACUUUCUGUACAUUUCAAACUGUGUUACACAUAGUAAAAUAGCAAUUUCAAAGUCUUGCAAUACUGUGGAAUCAAUAAUUUUUUAUUGGUACAAAAGUUUAGCUCUCCCCUAGUAUGAGGCCCAUAGUCUAGUGGCUCAGUGAGUGGCUCUGGGAAUGGACUAUGUGCAUUCAUUUUUUUUAAAGGUUUUUUUAUUUAUUUGACAGAGAGUGUGAGUGUACAAGCAGUGGAGGGGCAGAGGGAGAGGGAGAAGUAGACUCCCCACUGAGCAGGAAGCACAGCAUGGGGUUCGAUCCCAGCACCCUGUGGGUGCUGAGCUGAAGGCAGAUGCUUCACUGACUGAGCCACCCAGGUGCCCCAAGACUAUGUGUGUUCAAAGUCCAGCUCUCCCACUCUUUUAAUAAAAUGAUAAUAUAAAGGGUCUGGUACAUAGUAUCAAAUGUUUUCCUUAUUUCUUUGUAUUUAAUUAUUAAUCUGGUUGAAGAGGUAAAUCUUCAUUUAUGUAAUUCAUAAAUCACAUUUUGUGACUGUGUCCAAAUUAGGCAAAGUUAAAUUGUUGGACUCAUCUGAUUCUCAUUGCUAAGUUUGAUUUCAAUUUAAGACCCAGUUGUAUUAGUCUCUUCAGGAGAAUUAGGUUUGGUUAAACAGAAUUUUGGAUUCUAUGGUUGAUCAAUUCACAUCGAACAGAUUUGGCCUGUUAUCCCAUAGUGGACUCUGAAAUUCAUGGUUAAUGAAAAGCUAUACAAGAUACAAACAGCCAUUUAUAGUGUGACAUAAAUUUGCACCAUUAUCUGUAUACAUUAAUUUAUAAAGUUAGAGUAUAUGAUUAUUGUAUUUAUGUUUUUAAAUAUGUAUUUUUAGGCAAAAUAAAGUGUUCUGUAAUUUUCAAUCACUUCAAUUUUCAUGUUUAACUAUACCUUUUUGACAUUUGGACUUAGAGUUUAUGAUAUGUACAGUGAUGUUUAUUACAUGUUUGCUCUUUCCUCUAGCUUGAAAGGAUAUAAUUAAUAUUGCCAAUUUAACAUUAUAAACAACUUAAAAAUUUAGAAUCAGGAAAAUGCUAGAAAUAAUAAUUAUAAUUGUCAAAACAUGUAAACAUUAUAAUUAAUAAAAUUUAUAAUGAUUUAGGUACUUAUACUCAUUUUUAGAUCAUUUCAAUAGCAAGUGGGAAAUAAAACUGCUUUAAGAGUGAAUAUGUCAUAUAUAUACGUGGUGGGUGGAGUCUACCCUCUAUUCUUUUCACUUAGAUUUUGUUUGGUGAAAGAAAAGAAGAUAAAUUUAGGAAGGAAAAAAGAAGAGAGAGGGUCUAAGUUACUUUUAGUUCAGUUGAUUAUUUAAACACUUGGAAAAAAAAAGUAAAUAUGACUCAAUAUUCUCAAAGAUAGGAAAGAAGGGAAGGAAAACCAACCAGAGCAUUCACCCUGUCAAUAAUUAUGAGGCGAAAUUAAAAUUCCAUUUCCUCUGGGAAGUUUUCCCUGAUCCUCAGCUGGAAGUAAUUUCUUCCUCUUCUGACUUCCCAGUGCCUCUCCUAAAAUACUUAGGACCUUGUAUGGUAGUGAUUUAUGGAUACUCCCCAGGGUCUUAUGAUAUUGCAAGAUUAUAUACUAAUUGAGUAGAGGAUUUAUAUUUGAAUCUGCUUCAGUGUGGAAGGCUGUGGCUUAUAACAGAAGAGUAUGGCAUUUAGGGUCAGCAAAAACCCAGUUUUAAACCAAGCUCUGCCACUUCCUGUCUGAACUACGCAUUAGUUUUUCUGUGCUUCGAUUUCCUCACAUAUAAAAUGAUGAUAAUAAUACUUAGCUUAUAGCUUUUGGGAAAGAUUUUAUGAAAUAAUUCUUGGAUUGCUUCUAUUCCCUUGAAUAUAUUCAAUAGAUGUUAGCUCUCUUCUUUCCUAUCUCUGAUAAGCAUCCCUUUCCUCCAUGUAGAAGGGAUUCCAAUGACAAAAAAGUUAGUCAUUUUGCAACUGUAUCUCUCACUAAGGGAAAGGCAAUGUAAACAUUAUGUUUGACAAGUAUGGCUUAUGUGAUGUAAUCAUAAAGCACUUUUAUUUCACCCUCCACACACUGUUCUUUUAAGUAUUUUCCCUUCCCCUGGAUAAAAUUUUGGAAUAGUUCCGUGACUUCUCUAUCUCUGAUGGACAAUCAAAAUUUUCUGGUCAGCAAUUUACUGUUCUCAUUCAUUUUGUGUGAUAAUUGAAACUUUAUACUUCAUCUGAGUUCCAGCUACUUCCCUUAGCUCAGCUCAGUUCUGUUGUAGGUUAGCCAUUGACUAAUGGUUUAGUCGGAGAGGAUUUGGUUGGCCUCUUCUCUUUUCCACUGAUUUAUGCUUCUCACUCUAAAGAGGCAGGGAAGUUAUAAUUUGACUAAUGCUGUCAUGAAUUGGUGCCAGAUUUUCAGGUUACGAUUGCUGUUGUUUUGUGUGUUUGUUUACAUGUUUUCAGAUGGAAAUUUGUUUCUCAGAAUAGUUUAAUGGAUUCUUUGGGGAAUCAUUCCAAGCUAGACUCUCCCCAUUGCUGGGGAUUUUUCUAUCUGCAUUCCCUUUGAGAUACUUCCUCUGGCUGAAUAUGAGACUCCCAUUGGCCUCAGACUGUUGAUGGUCCUUUCACUCAUUCAUUCAGAUAAUAUUUAUUAAGCCCUGUUAAGUGUCAGGAACUCUCCUGUGUGGACUAAUUAGUGAACAAAGAUUUCUAUCUUAGGAACAUAUAUUUUAUAGGAGAAAGAACAAUAAACAAUAGACCUAACAAGUAAAUAUCAAGGUGUGUUGGGAUGUGACAUACACUAUGGAAACAAGGAAAAGUAGAGCAUAUCAAAGGGGAUCAGGAUGGCGCUAAGCCACAAUUUUAAAUAGAGUGAUCACUGUAGUUCUUAUUGAUGAAGUAUGUUGUUGUUCUUCUCAUUCCUAUACACUCACCUCUUUGCAGUGCAACUUUGGUGCCCGAGAAGUAGACUCUCUCUCCCUGUGUCUUAAAUAUAGGGUUAGUCAUGUGAUUUGCUUUGGCUAACAGGCAUUAAAAAUUAUAAACAAAGCAAAGGCUUGAAAAUGCUUAUGCAAUGGUGUUUGCCCUCUCUUGUUGCUAGGGAACCCUCUACCACCAAGUGUAAAAGCCUAGUUUUGCCUGCUGGAGGAUGAGAGUCCAAGUGGAGCUAGAGCUUUCAGCUUUCUAAACCAUUUUAGCUAAAGUCCCAGCUGAGGCUGAAGGCCAUCCAACUGAGAUCAUUCUAGACUAUCCAGCUCCAGCUGAGCUGGCACAGACAAGAAGAUUAGACUAGCCAACCCACAUAAUCAUGAUCAACAACAAACUGUGGUUGUCCUAAACUACUGAAAUUUGUGUUUGGGAAUAGCUGGAUGAUACCCUGAAAUUUUAACAAAGGCUUGAAGGAAGCCAAGUUCAUCCCUCAUGCUGGAGGUAGGUUAGUUUCCUCUGAGUACCUGUAUUUAUGAGUGAAGAUGGUUAAUUUUCAGAUUCUGUUAAGAAGAAGGAAGAUGUGAAUUAAUGUUUGGUUGAUAAGAAUGCCCACUGCUAUUGGUCCCAAACAGUCAUAAGAGAGGAGAAGUGCACUCAGUCUUGUGUGUUGGGGAAGGGGUCAGGAAAUGAAUAUAUGUGGGAGUAACACUUUAGAUGUAACUAGGAAUUUAAGCAGGAGUUAGUCAACAUGGUUGGGAGAAAAAGAGUGAUGAAUCCUUAUAAGGGAAUUGGAUAGCUUGGUCAAAGCACAGUGGUCCAUGGAUUGUGGACCUUUGGAAGAAAUACAAAUAAGUUGGCUUAUCUAGAGUAGAAUUGUGUCCAGAUAGUUACAUGAUCUGAAGGUAUUCAUCAGUUAUGUCCCUGGUAUGAAGAGGUUGAGAAAUAUCCAGGAACAGAAAUAUUGAACUUCAGUGACCAUAACUUAUGCGAAGUUUUCCUGGGUGAUUAGAUGCUCAGGGAAAGGCACUUGGGUGUAUUAGCUUACAAGGAAUAGCUGAUACUGUAUUGCUAUGUAGAACUAGAAGAAUUUCCUUUGAACGAGCUCUUUAAGAAGAAACACAGUUUUGAAGAACAUAAGAACUCCAGAACCAGACUGAAAGAAUUUGAAUCCCAAUCCUGCCACUUGUUUGCUUCUAGGACAGCUAAUGUAACCUCUCUGUUCCUCAGUUUCCUUUUCUGUGAGAUGGUCAUGACAGGCCUCUUUCCUGCUCCCCAGUAUUAUCCCCUACCCUUAUUUCCAGAGUCUAGGUGUAAUAUUUCAUAAUCUGCUGGGGCAUUGCUGCUUGACCUGGAUAUAUAUAUACUCCUCUUUACCUUUUUUAUAUGUAGGAUGUCAGCAUUCACAGCAUUGCAUGUCUGUUCUUGUUCUGCAUGACCAUAUAGAAAUAUUUCCUUCCUUGUAACCUCAUGAUUACAUUUUUUAAAUUGAAUAGAUAGCUAUUGCUCUAAUAGCCAUUUCCCUCAUCUCUUCCUGCCUUCUAGGUUCGGAGAAUCCAGAGUUGCAUUUAACAUAUUGUUAAAGGUUAAAUUGGGUCUCCUGAAAGAUAUGCUCAAAUCCUAAGCCCAGGUGCCUUGAAUGUGUCCUUAUGUGGUAAUAAGGUCUCUGAAGAUGUAAUCAAGUUAAGAUGAGGUUAUCCGGGGUUAGAGUGGGCCAAAGUCCAAUGACUUAUUAGAGAGGGAGAUGUGGAGGCACACAGCCACACAUGGAAGGGAGAAGGCCAUGAGACGACAGAGGCGGAGAUUGGAGUGAUACACCUUCCAGCCGUGGGGUGCCAAAGAUUUUUAGCCACCACCUGAAGCUAGGAGGAGGUAAGGAAAGAAUUUCCCCCAGAGUCCGCAAAGGGAGCGGCCCUGUCGAACUGUGAUUUUGGACUUCUAGCCUCCAGCACUAUGAGAGAAUAAAUUUCUGAGUUGCGGUAGUUUGUUAUGUCAGUUCUUGGAAGCAAAUACACCUAUGUUGAAAUGUGCAAAGACUCUAGAAUAUAGGCUAUAAUGGUAUGUAUUGAAACUAUUGAGUAUAAAAGCCAGAAUUCUGUAUCACUCAGCUGUGGCUGUUAUAAAAGCCAGCAUCAAUAUUUUUAAUAGGAAGAAUUGGGUCUAUGCAAGAAAUUCAGUCUUUUAAAUAAAGAAAUGAAGACUGUUGGGAAGGAAGAACUUUUUUCUCCCCUUUAGAUCUUGUAGCUAAAACAUCCUGCCUCCUGCCAAUGUGGAUAUUUAUCAUUAUCUCUCACUUACACUUAAAAAGCAUUUCUAUCAACUUUUUUUUUACCGUAACAGAAUGUUUUGUUGGAUGAGAAUAAUGAUGAUAGCCCUAUCUUCGUAGGAUCCCUUUAUCAACUUUGGUUUUGUUUUGUUUUCAGCAGACUUAAUGAAGCAAAUAAAGAUUUACUAUUCCUCUGGACACAUUUUGUUCUUUAGCAAAGGAAUUUGAAUGUAACAGUGACUGAUGAAGAAUGACAGAGCAUUUUGACUGCUCAUCUAGUUCAACAUCUACUUUCUCCAUGCAAGGAUUCAGAGCCACCCUUUGAAGUCCUUUUUCUUACACGAUGAAGGAGAUACUUUGAGUGGAAAAGGAGGAAGAAAAGAGAUGAGUAAGGUUGAGCUAUGCUCUGCUACAUGGCAGUUCCAGGAUAUUUUGGACAUUUACCACUUCCUUUCCCCUAAGGAUGUCAAGAUGAGAUUGUGGAUGAGGGUUAUAUUACACCAUGUGGAAAAUUUUGUGAUUUGGAACGAGGGAGGCAUGAAAACAGCACUACCUUACAACAUUCUCUUCAUCUUUCACUUCGUAUCCUUGCAAAUUCUGUCCUCUCCUUCAGGACUGACCUUCUCUGAUGUGGACUGAAUGUUUAAUGUCCCCCCAGUAAUUUAUAUUGAAGCCCCAGGGUGAUGAUAUUAGGAAAUGGGGGGUUGGGGAGGUAAUUAGGUUUAGAGGAAGUCAUGAGGGUAGAGUCCUCAUGAUGGAAUUAAUGUCCUUAUAAAUAGAUACCAGAUCUCUCCUCCAAUCUUGUUUCCUCCCCCACUUUUUGAGGAUGCUGCAACAAGAAGGCAGCUGUCUGCAAGCCAGGAAGAGGACCCUCUUUAGAACCACACCAUGGUAGCAUCCUGACUUCAGACUUCUAAGCCUUCAGAACUGUGAGAAACAAAUGUCUGCUGUUGAAGCCUCCUCAGUCUGCAGUAUUUUGUUACAGCCUCCUGAACUUACACUCACCCAUCUUUUCUCAUCAAGCCAGUCUUCAGUGCCUACUUCAGGUACUACUCUAAGUUGAGAUCUUAUCUCUAAGAUCUUGAGAUGCAUCACUGAACAGAAGCGAUAAACAUCCUUCCUUCAUGGUACUCAUCCUGUAAAGGGGCGGAGCAAGAUGGUGGAGGAGAAGGAGACCUGGAUUUCGUUUGGGCUCAGGAAUUCAGCUGGAUAGGGAUCAAACCAUUCUGAACACCUACGAACUCAACAGGAGAUUGAAGAAAAGAAUAGCAACUCUCUGAACAGAAAAGUGACCACUUUCUGGAAGCUUCAGGUCUUUUCUGAGGACGUUUUUACCCUGUUAGCAUUUUGUUCUCUCAUCUAUUCUCCUCUGGACAAAAUGACAAGAUGGAAAAAAUCACCUCAACAAAAAGAACAAGAGGUAGUACUGACUGCCAGGGACCUUAUCAAUACAGACAUUAGUACGAUGUUGGAUCUAGAGUUCAGAAUCAUGAUUUUAAAGAUACUAGCUGGGCUUGAUAAAGGCAUGGAAGUUAUUAGAGAAACCCUUUCUGGAGAAAUAAAAGAACUAAAAUCUAACCAAGUCAAAAUCAAAAGGGCUUUUAAUGAGGUACAAUAAAAAAUGGGGGAGCUAAUUGCUAGGAUAAAUGAGGCAGAAGAGAGAAUCAGUGAUAUAGAAGACCAAGUGAUGGAAAAUAAAGAAGCUGAGAAAAAGAGAAACAACUACUGGAUCACAAGGGCAGAAUUCAAGAGAUAAGCGAUACCAUAAGAUGAAACAACAUUAGAAUAAUUGGGAUCCCAGAAGAAGAAGAAAGAGAGAGAGGGGCAGAGGUAUAUUGGAGCAAAUUAUAGCAGAGAACAUCCCUAAUUUGGGGAAGGAAACCGACAACAAAAUCCAGGAGGCACAGAAAAACCCUCUCAAAAUCAAUAAAAAUAGGUCAACACCCCGACAUCUAAUAGUAAAACUUAUGAGUCUCAGAGACAAAGAGAAAAUCCUGAAAGCAGCUCGGGACAAGAGAUAUGUAACCUACAAUGGUAGAAACAUUAUCCACAGAGACCUGGCAAACCAGAAAGGACUGGCAUGAUAUAUUCAGAGCACUAAAUGAGAAAAAUAUGCAGCAAAGAAUACUCUGUCCAGCUAGGCUGUCAUUGAAAAUAGAGGAGAGAUAAAAAGCUUCCAGGACAAACAAAAACUAAAGAAAUUUGCAAUCACGAAACCAGCCCUACAAGAAAUAUUAAAAGAUGUCCUCUAAGCAAAGAGAGAGCCUAAAAGCAACAUAGACCAGAAAGGAACACAGACAAUAUACAGUAACAGUCACUUUACAGGCAAUACAGUGUCACUGAAUUCAUAUCUUUCAAUAGUUACCCUGAAUGUAAAUGGCUAAAUGCCCCAAUCAAAAGACACAUGGUAUCAGAUUGGAUUAAAAAAAAAACCCCAUCGAUAUGCUGUGUGCAAGAGACUCAUUUUAGAACCAAAGACACUCCCAGAUUGAAAGUGAGGGUGUGGAAAACCAUUUACCAUGCUAAUAGACACCAAAAGAAAGCUGGGGUAGCAAUCCUUAUAUCAGACAAAUUAGAGUUUAAACCAAAGACUGUAAUAAGAUGAGGAAGGACACUAUAUUCUACUUAAAGGGUCUAUCCAACAAAAAGAUCUAACAAUUGUAAAUAUCUAUGUCCCUAACAUGGGAGCAGCCAAUUAAUAACAAAAGCAAAGAAACACAUCGACAACAAUACAAUAAUAGUGGGGGAUUUUAACACCCCCCUCACUGAAAUGGACAGAUCAUCUAAGCAAAAGAUCAACAAGGAAAUAAAGACUUUAAAUGACACACUGGACCAAAUGGACUUCACAGAUCUAUUCAGAACAUUCCAUCCCAAAGCAACGGAAUACACAUUCUUCUCUAGUGCCCAUGGAACAUUCUCCAGAAUAGAUCACAUCCUAGGUCACAAAUCAGGUCACAACCAGUACCAAAAGAUUGGGAUCAUUCCCUGCCUAUUUUCAGACCACAGUGCUUUGAAACUAGAACUCAAUCACAAGAGGAAAGUCGGAAAGAACUCAAAUACAUGGAGGCUAAAGAGCAUCCUACUAAAGAAUGAAUGGGUCAACCAGAAAAUUAAAGAACAAUUUAAAAAAAUUCAUGGAAACAGAUGAAAAUGAAAACACAACUGUUCAAAAUCUUUGGGAUACAGCAAAGGCAGUCCUAAGAGGAAAGUAUAUAGCAAUACAAGCCUUUCUCAAGAAACAAGAAAGGUCUCAAAUACACAACGUAAUCCUACAGCUAAAGGAGCUAGAGAAAAAACAGCAAAUAAAGCUUAAACCCAGCUGGAGAAGAGAAAUAGUAAAGAUCAGAGCAGGAAUCAAUGAAAUAGAAACCAAAUGAAUGGGCACCUGGGUGGCUCAGUUGGUUAAGCAACUGCCUUCGGCUCAGGUCAUGAUCCUGGAGUCCCGGGAUCGAGUCCCGCAUCGGGCUCCCUGCUCGGCAGGGAGUCUGCUUCUCCCUCUGACCCUCCUCCCUCUCAUGCUCUCUGUCUCUCAUUCUCUCUCUCUCAAAUAAAUAAAUAAAAUCUUAAAAAAAGAAAAAGAAACCAAAUGAACAGUAGAAUAGAUCAAUGAAACUAGGAGCUGGUUCUUUGAACGAAUUAACAAGAUUGAUAAAGCCCUGGCCAGACUUAUCAAAAAGAAGAGAGAAAUGACCCAAAUAAAUAGAAUCAUGAAUGAAAGAGGAGAGAUCACAACCAACACCAAAGAAAUACAAUUAUAAGAACAUAUUAUGAGCAACUAUAUGCCAGCUAAUUAGAUAAUCUGGAAGAAAUGGAUGCAUUCCUAGAGAUGUAUCAACUACCAAAACUGAAUCAGGAAGAAAUAGAAAACCUGAACAGACCUAUAACUACUAAGGAAAUUGAAGUAGUCAUCAAAAAUCUCCCAACAAACAAGAGCCAGGGCCAGAUGGCUUCCCAGGGGAAUUCUACCAAACAUUUCAAGAAGAACUAAUACCUAUUCUUCUGAAACUGUUCCAAAAAAUAGAAAUGGAAGGAAAACUUCCAAACUCGUUUUAUGAGGCCACCAUUACCUUGAUCCCAAAACCAAAGAUCCCACCAAAAAAGAGAAUUAAGAUCAAUAUCCUUGAUGAACAUGGAUGCAAAAUUUCUCACCAAAAUACUAGCCAAUAGGAUCCAACAGUACAUUAAAAGGAUUAUUCACCACGACCAAGUGGGAUUUAUCCCUGGGCUGCAAGGUUGGUUCAACAACCACAAAUCAAUCAAUGUGAUACAAUACAUUAAUAAAAGAAAGAACAAGAAGCAUAUGAUCCUCUCAAUAGAUGCAGAAAAAGCAUUUGACAAAGUACAGCAUCCUUUCUUGAUAAACUCUUCAGAGUAUAGGGAUUGAGGGUAUAUACCUCAAAGUAUAAAAGCCAUCUAUGAAAAACCCAUAGCGAAUAUCAUUCUCAAUGGGGAAAAACUGAGAGCUUCCCGCCUAAGGUCAGGAACAUGGCAGGGAUGUCCACUAUCACCACUGCUAUUCAACAUAGUACUAGAAGUCCUAGCCACAGCAAUCGGACAACAGAAAGAAAUAAAAGGCAUCUGAAUCGGCAAAGAAGAAGUCAAACUCUCACUCUUUGCAGAUGAUAUGAUACUUUAUGUGGAAAACCCCAAAGACUCCACCCAAAACUGCUAGAACUCAUACAGGAAUUCAGUCAAGUGGCAGGAUAGAAAAUCAAUGCACAGAAAUCAGUGGCAUUCCUAUACACCAACAACAAGACAGAAGAAAGAGAAAUUAAGGAGUCGAUCCCCUUUACAAUUCACCCAAAACCAUAAGAUCCCUAGGAAUAAAUCUAACCAAAGAGACAAAGGAUCUGUCCUCAGAAAACUAUAAAAUACUCUUUAAAGAAAUUGAGGGAGACACAAAGAAAUGGAAAAACGUUCCAUGCUCAUGGAUUGGAAGAACAAAUAUUGUGAAGAUGUCAAUGCUACCUAGAGCAAUCUACACAUUCAAUGCAAUCCCUAUCAAAAUACCAUCACCUUUUUUCAAAGAAAUGGAAUAAAUAAUCCUAAAAUUUGCAUGGAACCAGAAAAGACCCCGCAUAGCAGAGGAAUGUUGAAAAAGAAAAGCAAAGCUGGCAGCAUCACAAUUCCAGACUUCAAGCUCUAUUACAAAGCUGUCAUCAAGACAGUAUGGUACUGGCACAAAAACAGACACAUAGAUCAAUGGAACAGAACAGAAAGCCCUCAAUGGACCCUCAACUCUAUGGUCAACUAAUGGACCCUCAACUCUAUGGUCAACUAAUCUUUGACAAAGCAGGGAAGAAUGUCCAAUGGACAAAAGACAGUCUCUUCAACAAAUGGUGUUGGGAAAAUUGGACAGCCAUAUGCAGAAGAAUGAAACUGGACCAUUCCCUUACACCAAACAGAAAAAUAGACUCCAAAUGAUUGAAAGGCAUAAGACAGGAGUCCAACAAAAUCCUAAAGGAGAACAGAGGCAGCAACCUCUUCGGCCACAGCAACUUCUUCCUAGAAACACCACCAAAGGCAAGGGAAGCAAGGGAAAAAAUGAACUAUUGGUACCUCGUUAAGAUAAAAAGCUUUUGUACAGCAAAAGAAACAGUCAACAAAACCAAAAGACAACCAACAGAAUGGGAGAAGAUAUUUGCAAAUGACAUAUCAGAUAAAGGGCUAGUAUCCAAAAUCUAUAAAGAACUUAUCAAACUCAACACCCAAAGAACAAAUGAUCCAAUCAAGAAAUGGGCAGAAGACAUGAACAGACAUUUUUGCAAAGAAGACAUCCAAAUGGCCAACAGACACAUGAAAAUGUGCUCAACAUUGCUCGGCAUCAGGGAAAUCCAAAUCAAAACCUCAAUGAGAUAACACCUCACACCAGUGAGAAUGGCUAAAAUUAACAAGUCAGGAAACGACAGAUGUUGGUGGGGAUGUGGAGAAAGGGGCACCCUCCUACACUGUUGGUGGGAAUGCAAGCUGGUGCAGCCACUCUGGAAAACAGUAUGGAGGUUCCUCAAAAAGUUGAAAAAGAGCUACCCUAUGACUCAGCAAUUGCACUACUGGGUAUUUACCCCAAAGAUACAAACGUAGUAAUCCAAAGGGGUACAUGCACCCCGAUGUUUAUAGCUGGAAUAUCCACAAUAGCCAAACUGUGGAAAGAGCCAAGAUGUCAAUUGACAGAUGAAUGGAUAAAGAAGAUGUGGUAUAUAUAUACAAUGGAAUAUUAUGCAGCCAUCAAAAGGAAUGAAAUCUUGCCAUUUGCAACGACGUGGAUGGAACUGGAGGGUGAUAUGCUGAGCGAAAUAAGUCAAUCAGAGAAAGACAUGUAUCAUAUGACCUCACUGAUAUGAGGAAUUCUUAAUCUCAGGAAACAAACUGAGGGUUGCUGUAGUUGGAGGGGGGUGAAAGGGAUAGGGUGGCUGGGUGAUAGACAUUUGGGAGGGUAUGUGCUAUGGUGAGCACUGUGAAUUGUGCAAGACUGUUGAUCACAGAUCUGUACCUCUGAAACAAAUAAUGCAAUAUAUAUUAAGAAAAAAAAAGAAGAAGAUAGCAGGAGGGAAAGCAUGAAGGGGGGAAAUUGGAGGGGGAGACGAACUAUGAGUUGAUGGACUCUUAAAAACAAACUGAGGGUUUUAGAGGGGAGGGGCAUGGGAGGAUGGGUUUGUCUGGUGAUGGGUAUUAAAGAGGGCACGUUCUGCAUGGAGCACUGGGUGUAAUACACAAACAAUGAAUCAUGGAACACUACAUCUAAAACUAAUGAUGUAAUGUAUGGUGAUUAACAUAACAAGAAAAAAUUAAAAAAAUAUAAAAAUGUAUUUAGAGAAAUGAAAAUAUGAGUAUAAAGUAUCAGAUGAUUCCAAGGACUUACCUUUAAUUUGUCAGGUGGGAUAAUGGUUAUAAUAGAAAAAUGUAUGUUAUUUAGAAACACAUACUGAAAUAGAGUAUGAUUUCUGGGGUUUGUUUUAUGAUGCAUCAAAAAGGAGAAAAAUAGGGUUAAAUGAAGUAAAAUCCAAAUAAUUGUUGAAUCUGGAUAAUUUAUUGUACUGUUCUCUUGAGUUUAGCAUAUAUUUGAAUAUUUUUCUAACAAAAUAAAUUGAAAAUUCUAAGAUGUCAAUAUCUACAGUAUUGCAGAAACCUAUCAUUUAUAAAUAAAUAUGAUAAAAUUUUACAUUCUAACCUAAUGUAUAAGGGACACAUAGUUUUUCAUAAUUAUUUUGAAGAACACACAAAAAAUUUUUAAGAAUCUGGCUAAAGUAUACCACCGAACUUAUUGAACAGUGUAGAUGGCCUGAAAUUAAUUAUGAUAUCUCUGAUCCAUUUAGAUAUGAUACUCAUAAAAAAAUAGUUAAUGUAGCUAAAAAUAUUCUAGAGUUAUUUAUUUACUUACAUAUCAGUUAAUUAAUCUGACAUCCAGAGUUUUGUUCCUGGAGUCUAAACUAUUUAUCUGCCUUCUUUCUGAGAUUUAUCCUAUUGAUUGUUCAGUUUCCUAGGUGAACUUAACAUUGUAAAUUUCUUGCUUCCUGCAGUAUGACACGCAAAUCAUAAUCACUUUCAAGUGGAAAUUGGGGUUAUAGGUUUUCAAUUUAUUUGUAAAAUGUUCUUUCCUCUGGUGGAAAACUGGAAUUUCCCAAUUUGGUAUACAUUUGGACAAACUGCAUCAUAAAAUGCUAUACUUACAAGAGUUUGCCCUUAAAUACAUAUUUUUGAGUAAGUGUCAUGUAUGAAAUUACAACUAACUACUUUGUUGGCCAGGAGAUGGCAAGACAUGGGGCUAGGUACAGAAUCAAAAUAUUAAGUUCUAAGUUUUAUUACAAUGAAAUGCCAUUUCUUGGCAGCAAUGCAAGUUUGUUGGGGCAUUUAGCACUCAAAUUCUAAGACAAAAAUAUUAAGAGCAGAAUAGAUUUUGUAUUUGUAGUUAUGGUAUACAGACUUGACCACAAAUCUUUCAAUUAAAUAGGACACAACUACUUCUGUAUUGUCAUUUUAGUAGCGUGAAAGAAAAAUUCAGUAAAAGAUGUGUAUGCCAUUUUACGUUGAAAAUGUUUAUUGUAAAAUUUGAAAAGAUUUACCAUUUGAGAAAUAUGGCAAACCUGGAAUAUGGAGUGCUGGUGUGCUUUUUUCCUAUCAAAGUAAAAAGCCAUAGGAUAAAGCAGUUAAGGAGGGGAACGUAGGUCCAUUAACACAGUGACCUCAGACUAGUAGUUUGAUAGAAUCAGUACCCAGGAUUUGCAUUUGUACAAUUUGCUAAAAGCGAAGUAUAAAUUAAGCCUCAGAAACAGUAGGAUCAGAAAGUAAACAGGUGUGUUGCUACUUCUUUCAUGUCCUCUCUACCCUGUGCUCACAUCAGAUCUACCCAGCGCUCAUAUGGGGAGAGUCAAAAUUCACAAACUAAGUUCUUAGAGCACUCCAAAACUACCUAAGGAAUGCUAAGCCUGAGAGUGCCCAGUGAGCUUAAAACAAGCAUGACACCUUCAAUGAGUCUUUCAUCCUCAGAAACUUCAGCUCAGUCUUGACUUAGAUAAAGUCAUUAAAUGGGGUGAAAAAAAGACCAUGAGCAAAGAACAUACCAUUAAAGUGAGGCUUAUCUGUAAGUGAAGUAGGCUGUUUCUUCACAGUAGGAAUUAGAGGGUUUUUAAAGGACUCUCAUCACAAAAGGUCCUUUUCUUCUACACACACUCAUUCCCACACCCCCUUGCCCACCCAUCAGAUAUACUGAACUUGUUGAAGUCCCUUGUACAUGUCCUAA